UACGUAGGGUGCAAGCGUUGUCCGGAAUUAUUGGGCGUAAAGAGCUCGUAGGCGGUUUGUCGCGUCUGCUGUGAAAACCUGAGGCUCAACCUCGGGCUUGCAGUGGGUACGGGCAGACUAGAGUGCGGUAGGGGUGACUGGAAUUCCUGGUGUAGCGGUGGGAAUGCGCAGAUAUCAGGAGGAACACCGGAUGGCGAAGGCAGGUCACUGGGCCGCAACUGACGCUGGAGGAGCGAAAGCAUGGGGAGCGAACAGG
rnacentral:rRNA from 1 species